AACUGAUACUACCUGCGGGAACCUGCGGAAGGAUCAUUACCGAGUUUACAACUCCCAAACCCAUGUGAACAUACCUAUCGUUGCUUCGGCGGGAUCGCCCCGGGCGCCUUGCGUGCCCCGGAUCCAGGCACCCGCCGGGGGACCUUAACUCUUGUUUUAUUUAGAAUCUUCUGAGUAGUUUUUACAAAUAAAUAAAAACUUUCAACAAUGGAUCUCU
rnacentral:misc_RNA from 1 species